UACGUAGGGACCGAGCGUUGUCCGGAAUCAUUGGGCGUAAAGAGCGUGUAGGCGGCCUUUUAAGUCCUGCGUGAAAUCCUGCGGCUCAACCGCAGACGGUCGUGGGAAACUGGAAGGCUAGAGUGCGGGAGAGGAGAGUGGAAUUCCCGGUGUAGCGGUGAAAUGCGCAGAUAUCGGGAGGAACACCGGUGGCGAAGGCGGUUCUCUGGGCCUUACCUGACGCUGAGGAGGCGAAAGCGUGGGGAGCGAACAGGA
rnacentral:rRNA from 1 species